AGAUUGGUGGAAGCUGAAGCCAGAACCUAAAUAGGUCUUCUGCUGCUAGAGAGGUGUAUGGUGUGAGGGUAUGUUGUUGUGUUUGCUUUGUGUGAUUGUAAGUGAUAGAGGAAGAUUUUGGGGAGCAGCUGCUGGUGAGGGCAAAUCUGAGGCUCUGAUUGCUGAAGGCAUUACUGGAACUAGUGCAGGCCCAGUCCUCUGCAAGUGCUUUGCACGUCUUCAAGGCUGAACCUCUAGAACAUGUGCAUUCAACCUGGAGAAAGUCUGCUAAGAGAAAGGGUAACAGCAGCUGUGGUAAAACUAAUGCAAGAUAAGAAAUGCUCAUGGCUGCCCAUGAUUUUAGUGAGGAAAAUAUCUGCUGUGUCUGGAGCAAUUCUAUAAAUGCCUGUAAAAUGUACUUUAAUUGCAGCUUUUCUGAUGAGAAUAGAGGUCUCAUCUCCUUGUGGAGAUUAUAAAUGUUACUUCUCCUUAACAAAUAGAAAUUUGGACUAGAAGUCAAGAACUCUUGCUCAGCAACUUGAGAUCUAGUAGGUGUGUGCACUCUAAUUUUCUUCUGGUGCUGGAGAUAAAUUGGGCUAGAAGGAGAGCUUCUUGAAAUGCGAAUGUCUCUCUCUAAAUGAGUGUACAUGGUGGAAUACUCCUUUUGAAACUGUACUAAUUUUGAGGAACUGAAUAUUCAGACACAAGUGAAAUCACCAGACAAGCUUUUGUGCAGUUCAGAGGCCUAUAUAUGAUAGGAAGACCAUCAGGAGGACUACAUUUCUGCUGCAUCAGCUUUCAUGGGGAAGUUUGACCUUUACAGCAACUCAGUAUGCUCUUUGAGAUAGUAAAAAGAUGUCUCUGAGAACUGUAAGGCUGGAAACUCUGGACCUACAGAAACUAGCGUUGCUUUAAAGGGGAUGAUUUUGGCAAUAAAUACUAUCCAGAAACUUCUGAUGCGGAGGUUCACGCUAUGACAGUCCUGUAAGCAAGGAAAGCAACCUGAGGAGUGAAAUGGAUUCCGGGGAUGAAAUUUUGUUUAUACAUGGAAAUGUGCCAAAAAACCUCAGUAAUUAUAGUUUCAACAAAACUAGUUAUUCUGAAGUAACUAUUCUGAGAAAAUGCCAAGUAUGGACAAGCAUUUAUAGACACAGGUCUAUCACUUUACUCACCCAAGCUGUAAUUCUACAAUUAGCAUUCUGUUUGCCUUCUUGGUGGCUUUGUUUUGUGUAUUGUUACAGUUUAUCAGUCUAAAAGGCUUUUUGCAGUAACUUCAAGACCUGCCAUGCAAAGGUCGUAAAAGUUUUCUUCAAUUCUUGCAAAUAAACAGCUUUAAAUCAAUUGUGAGGCCACAACAACCAAAGCAAGACUUUCAGUCCUAUUAUCUAAAUAUAGUGUAUAUGCUAUUUAGAAAAGUGUCUAUAAUUUGAUGUGGAAAAAUGGGUCUGGAAGGAAGGAUUUCUCCAACUUCAGCAGUGAUACAAUGAGAACAUGUGGUUGAACAUGUUUUUAAAAACUCUCAACCAAAAAUGUUUAUCUUUUAGAUCCCUAAUUUGUUCAGUGUCACGUUAUUUCAAAUUGUCAAGAACAGGAGAUUUUGCUAUUUUCUUAAUUGUUACCUAUUUAGCUUUUAUUUUCAUGCAUGUUUUCCCUUUAUGAAUAGUCUCUUGGAAUAUGUUGUCGAAUUGUUUUAUUCCCAUGAGAAGUGAGAGUGUGAGAGGAAACCUGGGUAUAUUCCUCGUAUUCUGCUCAGAGAGAAUGCUCUCUCUCUGAAAACAUUUUACUUCCAGCACUGCUUUUUCCUGUUCUUCUUUCCACCUAUCUUGUGUGUCAUGAGUGUGCUCAGCCCUACUCUGGCAUGGAUUGAUUUGUUUGCAACCUGGGUGGUCAAGAGGGGAAAAGGAAUCUGUGUGUUGCCUUUGUGCUUUGCACAAAUGUGGGAAAAAAAUCAUGUUCCCUCUCUGAGGAAAAUCAGUUCAUAUCUGUUGUGACUGGUACAGUUUUCUCUGCCAUUUGCAGAGUGGUGUUGCAGCCUGCUUGGUGUAUGUUGCUUAGUGUGCUUUGCUCACUCUGGCACAACAGAAGCUUUUAUCAAAGAGAUGACCAAGAUACAUAGGUCACACUGAAGUAAUCCUUCCUAUUUAUUUUCACUGAAGCUACAACGGGUACAACACUUCUUCAACGUAGUCAUCACUAUUAGCUGUGUGUUUUCACCAGCAAUGAACAAGAGCUGCAUGCUGCACUUGUCAAAAUCUGCACUGCUGAAAUACUACCCACUGCCUCAUGGUGCUCACAUCUAUUGUUUGGUCUCUAUAGAUGUUCAGCAAGCAUCAAUGAGUGUCAGUGUGUGACGUUUUUUCUGCAUGGAAGAAUUCAGUGACAGGCCUUUGCUUCAGAUGCGCUUCUGUGUCAGAUACCACUGUGUCAGACUGCCCCUAUGCUGUCAUCUGUCACACAGCAGCAACAUGUAAUGGAAUAUUGGUGGGAAGUCUCAACCUCUACAGCCAUACCAGCAACAUCCACUUCUGACAUCAUGGGCCAACUUAAUAAAAUAGGAGCCGUAACUUUCAGAGCAGUCUUAAUAAACAGUAGGAAGCAUUAUAUAAAUCAGCAAGAGCACAUUUCUCAGAGCUGCUUAGCUCUUCAACAUUGGCUAUUUUUGGAUUUCCUGAUGCUUGGAGCUAGUGGAAUCUUUCAUUUUAUUUUCUUUGUACUUAAAACACUUGUCACUCUAUAUGCCACAUCUUCAAAGAUAUUGCUUUUUAAGAAAGAGAGAAGGUCAUCUGAGAACGGGACUGCUGGAGUUAUGCUCCUUUUCUGACAAUAGCUAAGUGUGUGGAUCUUGGAUAUGGACUCUGAACAGAAACAAACAUGAAGUGGAAAAUUGCUCUUAAAAUCUUUCAGAUGCUUUUCAAGCUGUGAAUGUUGCUGGAGCUGCCAGCAUAAAUAUGACUAUUUAAUUUUAAAUACAAUCAAAUAAAAUCUUUUA